AGGGAAUCUUCCGCAAUGGACGAAAGUCUGACGGAGCAACGCCGCGUGAGUGAUGAAGGUUUUCGGAUCGUAAAACUCUGUUGUUAGGGAAGAACAAGUACCGUUCGAAUAGGGCGGUACCUUGACGGUACCUAACCAGAAAGCCACGGCUAACUACGUGCCAGCAGCCGCGGUAAUACGUAGGUGGCAAGCGUUGUCCGGAAUUAUUGGGCGUAAAGCGCGCGCAGGCGGUUUCUUAAGGUUGAUGUGAAAGCCCACGGCCCAACCGUGGAGGGUCAUUGGAAACUGGGAGACUUGAGUGCAGAAGAGGAGAGUGGAAUUCCACGUGUAGCGGUGAAAUGCGUAGAGAUGUGGAGGAACACCAGUGGCGAAGGCGACUCUCCGGUCUGUAACUGACGCUGAGGCGCGAAAGCGUGGGGAGCGAAC
rnacentral:rRNA from 1 species